UUAGUAACGGCGAGUGAACCGGGAAAAGCUCAAAUUUGAAAUCUGCCAACAGGCCGAGUUGUAAUUUGUAGAUGGCUACACUGCAUAAUAGUAGAUGCUCAAGUUCUUUGGAAAAAGACAUCAUGGAGGGUGACAAUCCCGUGAGGCAUGUUACUAGGAGCAUAUAGUGGGCUUUCUAAGAGUCGAGUUGUUUGGGAAUGCAGCUCAAAGUGCGUGGUGAAUACCAUGUAAAGCUAAAUAUGGACGAGAGACCGAUAGCGAACAAGUACUGUGAAGGAAAGAUGAAAAGCACUCCGAAAGGAGAGUGAAAUAGUACGUGAAAUUGUUUAAAGUGGAAGGGCUUGAGAUCAGAAUUGGUAGUUUGGGUUCCACGUCCUCUUGGGGGCGUGUACUCCCUUUCCACCGGGCCAGCGGGAGUUUCGUCUCUUGGGUAAAAGCAGUGGAAUGUAGCAGCUUGUCUGUAUUAUAGCCUCUGUU
rnacentral:rRNA from 1 species